CACAGGAGUUCUUUCCCUAUCGUUUUCUUCUUUUUAGGUCACAACCCGAACUCUUUUUCGUAUAAAAGGGUGAUCUUUUCCUCUUACUUUCUCCAGUCUCUUCUUCAUCUGUUUGCGACCUGAUACUCCCGGUGCCCGACUAGCUUGACGUUGUGGAGGAGCGCCGCCAUACUUGAUUUAUUGUUUGACACUUCUACACAAUAACCCAUACCGGUAAGGUAUUGUGUAUACGUGUCACAACCUUACGGAAUAUUCUAUGGGAAAUUUGAUGGCAUUAUUGAUGUAGUAACAAAUAUAUUGUUGAAAUGAAAAUUUUU